AGCUCCAAUAGCGUAUAUUAAAGUUGUUGCAGUUAAAAAGCUCGUAGUUGGAUCUCGGGUCCAGGCCUGCGGUACAGCUUAGGCUGCUUACUGCUCGUCCUGACCUACCUACCGGUUUUCCCUUGGUGCUCUUAGGUGAGUGUCUUGGGUGGCCGGAACGUUUACUUUGAAAAAAUUAGAGUGCUCAAAGCAGGCUUUCGCCUGAAUAUUAGUGCAUGGAAUAAUUGAAUAGGACCUCGGUUCUAUUUUGUUGGUUUUCGGAACUCGAGGUAAUGAUUAAGAGGGACAGACGGGGGCAUUCGUAUUACGGUGUUAGAGGUGAAAUUCUUGGAUCGCCGUAAGACGAACUACUGCGAAAGCAUUUGCCAAGAAUGUUUUCA
rnacentral:rRNA from 1 species